UACUACUCCUGUGUUUUGUAA
rnacentral:piRNA from 1 species